AGAACGAACGCUGGCGGCAUGCCUAACACAUGCAAGUCGAACGUGAUCCAGGCUUCGGCCUGGUGAAAGUGGCAGACGGGUGAGUAACGCGUGGGAACCUGCCCUGUGGUAGGGAAUAACCGUGGGAAACUGCGGCUAAUACCCUAUGAGUCCUUCGGGAGAAAGAUUUAUCGCCAUAGGAGGGGCCCGCGUCGGAUUAGGUAGUUGGUGGGGUAACGGCCUACCAAGCCUUCGAUCCGUAGCUGGUCUGAGAGGAUGAUCAGCCACACUGGGACUGAGAUACGGCCCAGACUCCUACGGGAGGCAGCAGUGGGGAAUAUUGGACAAUGGGGGCAACCCUGAUCCAGCAAUGCCGCGUGGAUGAUGAAGGCCUUCGGGUUGUAAAGUCCUUUCGGCGGGGAAGAUGAUGACGGUACCCGCAGAAGAGCCCCGGCUAACUCGUGCCAGCAGCCGC
rnacentral:rRNA from 1 species